GCUCUGGUGGCAUAAUUGGUUAGAGUGCCUGCCUUGGAUGCAGGAGGUUGAAGGUUCAAGUCUGGCAGAGGCG